UUGGUAGUUAAAAUGAGUGUUUACUGAACCUGAAGAGAGGAAGAAUACGCAAAUUAUCCUGUAUCUAUCAUCAUGUGUAUCCAACAUUAUAGAUAUUCUGCUUAGUUAAUUUGACAAUUUGUAUUUUUUAAUUUCCUUGACUUGGAAUCUCACACUUGCCAAAUCUUUUGAUGUCAGAUUUUUUGAAACAGUGAAAUCCAUGUGAAAGGAAAAUUGCAUGACCCGGCUGUUCUUCAGUAGCAAACGAAGUGAAUUAAGACUGAAACAAAUGCAAAGUAUCCAACUGAGGUAGUGAGGUUCUCUUCAUAUUCGUGGUAAUUUUGGAAAAUAUUCUGUCCAGAAAAUGACGCCUUAAAAGAAAGAACUGGGUUGCUAUAAUGUAGCAGUAUUGAUGCGUGAAUCCGUCGCCACCUUUCCAUAGACUGACCCAUCGGAUGGUGAAACUGAGGAGAGAAUGCUGUAAUUCAAGACUGAUAAAUUGUGUAGUUAGAUAAAUUACAAGUUCAUAUCUGGG